rnacentral:rRNA from 1 species
ACACAUGCAAGUCGAGGGGAAACGACAUCGAAAGCUUGCUUUUGAUGGGCGUCGACCGGCGCACGGGUGAGUAACGCGUAUCCAACCUGCCCACCACUUGGGGAUAACCUUGCGAAAGUAAGACUAAUACCCAAUGACGUCUCUAGAAGACAUCUGAAAGGGAUUAAAGAUUUAUCGGUGAUGGAUGGGGAUGCGUCUGAUUAGCUUGUUGGCGGGGUAACGGCCCACCAAGGCUACGAUCAGUAGGGGUUCUGAGAGGAAGGUCCCCCACAUUGGAACUGAGACACGGUCCAAACUCCUACGGGAGGCAGCAGUGAGGAAUAUUGGUCAAUGGACGAGAGUCUGAACCAGCCAAGUAGCGUGCAGGAUGACGGCCCUAUGGGUUGUAAACUGCUUUUAUAAGGGAAUAAAGUGAGCCUCGUGAGGCUUUUUGCAUGUACCUUAUGAAUAAGGACCGGCUAAUUCCGUGCCAGCAGCCGCGGUAAUACGGAAGGUCCGGGCGUCAUCCGGAUUUAUUGGGUUUAAAGGGAGCGUA